GUGUACUGUGCACUCAGCACUGUGUAUAGUGUUUACUGUCUGUGUCUGGUGUUGUUGUGUGCCAUGCGGAGUAGGGGGCGAGAGUGUUGUUCAGUGGUAGUGUGUAAACAUUAGUGUAGUGCGAGUUACUUUGCGUUGCUAACAUAAUCACAGUUUCACAUUUAAUAUGGCUUCUGAUGACGUUGAUUAUAUGUCAGAUGACAUAUUGUUUCAAUGUGAACAACAGGACAUAAGACCGGGCUUAAUACUUAACCACAGUCAGAAAAGAUCACAUACAAUAUAUAAACAAAAAUUGGUGAAAGAUGCAGAAAAUAAGAAAAUAUUUCCAAGAAAAAGUGUGCUUGAGGAAGAAAGGAGGGACGAAGGACUAAAAGAAGCAAUUUCCAGUGACAAUAAGGGGUUUGCGCUUCUGCAGAAAAUGGGCUACAAACCAGGAUCAGCUAUUGGAAAAUCAGGUUCAGGAAUUGUGGAGCCCGUACCAAUAGCUGUGAAGACAAAUAGAGGAGGUCUUGGGAGGGAAGCAGCAUUGAAAGAAAUUAAAGAACAAAAACUGGCAAUUAAGGCAAGAUUAUUAAAACACAGGAAUCAAUUAAAUGAUAUAGAAAGUUACAGAAGUCAGAUGACAAGAAAAAUGGAAGAACGUCAGAAUGAAGCUGAUCUAAGGAAAAGUCAGAGAAUUUGUGAGCAGCUUGACAAAAGAAAGGACAUUGACAUUCCAGCAGAACCGUGGUUUUGGCCUGAUGGUUGGUCACAAGAGGAAGAAAAUGGGUCAGAUGAAGAGGAGGAGGAGGAAGAAGAAUGUGAUGGGGAUGAGGAGGAGGAGGAGAGCAGUGAGGAAAUAACAUUUCAGACUCCAGAAAAACUGGAAAUAAUCACGUUGUAUCUAAGAAGAACAUAUCUCUAUUGCAUCUGGUGUGGAACAGAAUUUGAUGAUGAAAAAGAUAUGCAGCAGAAUUGCCCUGGAAGCACAAGGGCAGACCAUUAGUAAUCUUAUAAUUAUGAAUAAACAAAUAAAAAGAAGCACUGAUCAACAUCAGUCGACAUAAGGACUUGGACGACACUAAGUGGAGCAUGCCCGCCAAGGAUGCAGUUAUGGCGUAACCACUGUCAUCGCUCGGAAAAACCGAAGCACAAACAAGCAGGGAGCUCAUUGCCUCAGACUGUGGAAGGGAGAGUGUCAGCAACACCUGAUUCAGCACCUUGAGAAAAGUUCAGAGCAGGCACAAUGCUAUCCUGUGAACAGGGCUACGUGUAGUAACUACACGUAGGCAUGUCACAAGAAUGCAUUUCAGGCUGCAAACUUUGCAUAAAAAAAUGUUCUGACACUCUGAAACAACACAUUAGACCAGCCUCAAGUCAUCGACUGCUAUAAAACCUUCUUCUUCCUUCCAUUCAAUCUGAAUUUUUCCACCCCAUUUGGAUCACUGAUACCAAUGUAUGGUCACCUGUACCAGUUACAGAAUGACUUGGUGAAGACAACAAAGUUUUACUGCCCACCACCAGCUUGGGAGUCAUUGCUACAAGUCUGCAGCUGUCUUGCUGUGGAGGGAACUUCAACUCUGCUAGCUGAAUUCCUGCCAGUUACUCCUGUGACUACCUGAAGAUGAGGGCAAUGCUAGUCUUCCAUGAAUGAAGAAGCGAUGUGCUCACGUGUGAGCUGUUCAACUUGAGAGCAGGAGGAGAGUGCCUGUGCUACCUUUCACGAGCAAUACAAGUAUUGGGACCAGCUUUCAAGUUGUCCUGUGUGUGUCUGUUGGGUCCUCCACCUACCCACCAUCACGACAACUGGCAACAGGUGCAUGGUGAUUUCUGGGGACAAGCCUGAGUGCAACUACACUCAAUGAGAGUGCAGAGAAAUGCCUGCUGUCGCACCAUUGUGUGACAGGGCUGCAGCACAAAUCUCUGACUACGCCAGGGCGCUGCUCUGUGCCUCCUUGUAGUGUGGGUACAGCACACCCACUGCUAAGCCAAAUCGAGGAGAAGACAGUGUGAUUGUAUAACUCUUGGAAAUUGAUGACCAUUUAUUGAAUGAUGUCUUACUAGUGCCUUGUAGAACUGCUGGACAACACCUCCACUCUACAAUCCUACACCUCCACUUUACAAUCCUACACCUCCACUUUACAAUCCUACACCCACCUAAGGAGGCUACAUUUGGUGGACACCUACAUUAUUAGUGCCUCCAUCUGGCUGCUGUCCAGAAAGAGAGCAGCCUCCUAUCCCACACUUGGAAUUUUCCCCCUCAAUCUCUGUGGUUAGUCUCAGUCUCCAAGCAUGCCUGCACUCUGUUCUCGGCUCAUCCACCUCAGCUAGCUGGCCCCACUUUGGCUGGCCAGCUGUGCAAUCAAGUAUACUUGUCACUGUAAUCACCUAAAAAAUAUUUGUCAUUGUUUCUUACCAUUAACAGUGUAGGAAAAGAUAGAUUGCUACUUACUGUAAAGAAGACAAAUUAAGUUGCAGACAGGCUCAAUUAAGACACUUGCACAAAGCUUUAGGCCACAACCUUCAUCAGCAAGUGAGGAAACACACACACACACACACACACACACACACACACACACACACACACACACACACACACACACACACACACACACAGUGCACUGUCAAGAGUUUGUGGGGCUGGGAGGUGGAGAGAAAAGGAGCAAAAAAAAAAGGCAAGCAACGGGGUAAGAUGGGUGGACAUAUUGGCAGAGAAUGCAGACAGAGGGUGGAAGACAAGAAUGGUAAGGAGGUGAUUCAAUGGGAGCAGGGGAAGGGGGUAGACUGUGGGUCAUUGUAGGUUGAGGCCGGAAUAAUUACGGGAGCGGAGAAUGUGUUGUAAGGAUAACUCCCACUGCACAGUUCAGAAAAGCUGGUGGUGGAAGGGAUGAUCCAGGUGGCUUGGGUAGUGAAGCAGCCAUUGAAGUCAAGCAUGUUAUGUUCAGCUGCAUGUUGUGCUACACGGUGGACUAGUUUGCUCUUGGCUGGAGUUUGGCAGUGGACAUUCAUCCUAGUGGACUGCUGGUUGGUAGUCAUAACUAUAUAAAAAGCUGUGCAGUGAUUGCAGCAGAGCUGAUAGAUCACAUGACUGCUUUCACAGGUGGCCUGGCCUCUGAUGGAGUAUGAUAAACCUAUGAUAAGACUGGAAUCGGAAGUGCUGAGUGUGUGGAUUGGGCACGUCUUACACCUGGACCUUCACAGGGAAAUGAUACUUGCAGCAAGGGGUUGGGAUUGGCAUAGGGAUAUACUUGGAUGUUGUGGAGGUUGAGUGAGUGACGGAACAUCACUUUAGGAGGGGUGGAAAGUAUCUUGAGUAGUAUGUCCCUCGUUUCAGGGCAUGAUGAUAGGUAAUCAGAGCCCUGGCAAAGGAUUUGGUCCAGUUGUUCCAGUGUGGGGUGGCAUGAGUGACAAAGGGGGCACUCCCUCAGAUCUAGUCCACAAACAAACCUGCUGCGCCAUUUCCCCUCACUGCCCCAGUCGUCCCACCACCCCCAAGAACCAGCCCCAAAGGAAUCCUAAAGUGCUGUUCCGUCGCCCACCCAAUUUGCACAGCCUCCAAUUCCAUACCUGUGCCACUCCCAAUCCCAAACCCUUGCUACAAGGAUCAUAUCCCCAUGGAAGACCAAGGUGCAAAAGCUGCCCAAUCCACCUGCCCAGCAUUUCUUAUCCCCAUCCUGUCACAAGUUUAUCCUACCACAUCAGGGGCCGGGCCACCGGUGAAAGCAGCCAUAUGGCUUAUCAGCCCUGCUGCAAUCACUGCACCGGUUUUUAUAUUGUUAUGACUAACAGGUAGUCAUAAUGCAGCUAUCACUUGGGGUGAAGCAGUCAUCUGGAAGGGUCGGGGAAGAAGAAGGGGAAGGGAUAGUGUACAGCUGUCCACUAAGAUGAAUGGGCCCUGCCAAACUCCAGUCAAGAACAAACUAGUCCACUCUAUAGCACAACAAGCAGCUGAACAUCACACACCUGAUUUAAGUGGCUGCUUCACUACCCCAACCACCUGGAUCCUCUCCUUCAUCACCAGCUCUUCUGAACUGCGCAGAUGGGAGCUGUCCUUACAACACAUUCUCCGCUCCUACUACCCUCAGACCCUCCACCUGACAGUUUCCACUCCCUCUGUCCUGUCAUCUCCUCUCCAUCUUUGUCACCCACCCUAUGUCGAUGCACCUGCACAUCUUUCCCCACUCUUCUCCUUUUUCACUCCUUUUUCCUCCCACCUCCCUGCCCGCAACCUCCUGACCUCGUGCCUGUUGGCAUUCUACUUCUGCACACUCUGGCAGACAGCUUUUCUCUCUCUCUCUCCCCCCCCCCCCCCCCCCCCUCCCCUCCACCUAUACACUGCUGCCCCUUUCCCUUUCCAGUGCCCUCCAGAUUGCUGCUUCCGUCCCAAGUGAUUGUUGCAUACUGGCCAGAGCUGCCGAAUUUGGUGGUCAUGUGUGCUUGCUUGAGUGUAUGAAUGGUGUGUGUUUCUCUUUUGCCGAUGAAAGCUGUGGCCAAAAGCUUUGGGUAAGUGUCGUUUGAUUGUACUUGUCUACAACUUAAAAUGACUUCUUUAUGGUAAGUAGCAAUCUGUCAUUUCUUACUUUGCUGAUAUUUCUACCUGGAGUUUCUAUUGUUUGAUUUCUUGCAAUCAGAAUAUGCAUUAGACACAUUGUUGCUUCCUAGUCUGAAGAAAAUUAAUUUAUCUUUUAUUGUUCAUGUCACAGUGGUUCACUGCAUUUUGUAGCAAAAAUGUCAAAGAAGCGAAUCUAUGUGAAAGAUAUUUACAAGAACCAUUGGAGUUUCUACUAUCACUACUUAGUGAUCCUGAGGAUUCUGAAACAGAUAAUGGAUAUGUUUCAGACAUGUGGACACUGAGCCAUGUUUAGUUCUACAUCCAAAUAAUAAUAGCAGUCCAAAUAGUACCAGUGUUUGGAGUUGAGGUUUCUAGUGAUGAUAGCACUGUUGUUGACUUGCUUCAUGUUGAUACAUAUGGAGAGCCUGUUGCAGGUAGCAGAUUGACAAAAUAAAACACAUCCUUUAUUUGCCACUGAGAUGUUAGAGUGUGUGGUUCAGCAGUCAAAUCUGUAUGUUGAGCACUUGAAACAAAAAUGGCAAUCUGAUCAGACUGUGAAACAACAAAGAACUGGAAACAAUUGACUAUAGAUGAGUAAGUGGAAUGAUAUGAAAAUCUUGAAGAGUAUAUUUGUGUUUCCAUAAGUAGUGCACUGCUGGAGUACAGAACCUGCUGUUGGUCAACCCGAUAUAUCAAAGUCUGUGACAUGCAGAUAUUUCAAAAAGAUAUGUCAAACUAUUAAAAAAAAUAUCAGUAGUAUGAAUCCUCCAACACAGCAUCCAAAUCAUGAAAACUUCACAAGGUCAUAACUCUUAUAACUUUUCUAAACAACACACACUGCCAAUGAGGUAUUAGCUGUGAAUGAAUGGAAGAUAUAUUUCAAAGGGAUGCUCAUUGCUCAGGCAGUAUAUGUUUUUGAAAUCAGGUAAACAAGUGUACAAAUUGUGGUGUGUAGCAGACUCAAAAACAGGCCACGUCACAAAAUUUGUUAUUUGCACAAGGAAGUCAGACAACAGGUCUACAGAAAAUUCUCUAGGAGAGUGAGUAGUCAUUAGCCUGAGCCAUGACCUGUGCAUAGCAUUUGACAACUUCUUCACCACUGUGAACCUAAUGCUGAUGUUGUUGAUCAGUUGCAUCUAUUAUACAGACACUGUGAGGGGAAAAAAAAACAAGAAA